UUCCGGUUGAUCCUGCCGGACCCCACUGCUAUCGAGAUGGGACUAAGGUAUGCUAGUCGAACGACCAGAACUAUGUCUGGGAGUGGCACACUGCUCAGUAACACGUAGCUAACCUACCCUUAGGACGUGGAUACCCCCGAGAAAUUGGGGUUAAUCCGCGAUAGAUGUAAUGUCCUGGAAUGGUAUUACGUCUAAAGGUAUUUCAUACAUGUUUGAAAUAUGCCUAAGGAUGGGGCUGCGGCCGAUCAGGCUGUUGGUGAGGUAAUGGCUCACCAAACCUUUGACCGGUACGGGCCAUGAGAGUGGUAGCCCGGAGAUGGACACUGAGACAAGGGUCCAGGCCCUAAGGGGCGCAGCAACCGCGAAACCUCCACAAUGCACUCACGUGCGAUGGGGCUAUCUCGAGUGCCACCUGAUGAAGGUGGCUUUUCCUUGGUCUAAAAAGCCUCGGGAAUAAGAGGGGGGCAAGACUGGUGUCAGCCGCCGCGGUAACACCAGCCCCUCGAGUGGUGGGGAUGAUUAUUUGGCCUAAAGCGUCCGUAGCCGGCCGGGUAAGUCUCCCGUUAAAUCCAACGUCUCAAGCGUUGGACUGCGGGAGAUACUGCCUGGCUAGAGAGUGGGAGAGGUCAGCGGUAUUCUGGGGGUAGGGGCGAAAUCCUUUGAUCCCCGGAGGACCACCAGUGGCGAAGGCUGCUGACUAGAACACGUCUGACGGUCAGGGACGAAAGCUGGGGUAGCGAACCGGAUUAGAUACCCGGGUAGUCCCAGCCGUAAACGAUGCAUGCUAGGUGUUGGGUUGGCCACGAGCCACCCCAGUGCCGCAGGGAAGCCGUUAAGCAUGCCGCCUGGGAAGUACGAUCGCAAGAUUGAAACUUAAAGGAAUUGGCGGGGGAGCACCACCAGGCGUGAAGCCUGCGGUUUAAUUGGAUUCAACGCCGGA
rnacentral:rRNA from 1 species